rnacentral:lncRNA from 1 species
GGGCUGAAAGAUGGUUCAUGAUGUCACUUGAGCUCAAAGGUAGAGGGCGGAGAGUGGAGAUGCUUCCACCAGAUGCCCUCAAAGCUUUCAGAGAAGCCAGGGCACAAUUAUCAGAGAGGACGUAGGAAGGGAAGGUGGAAGGGCUUUAGUGGUGGCUUCAAAUGGCCACCACCGGGAGGGUGGAAAAGAGCUAAGGAGAAACAAUUACAGAAAUGCUGGAUACA